UACGUAGGGUGCGAGCGUUAAUCGGAAUUACUGGGCGUAAAGCGUGCGCAGGCGGUUUUGUAAGCCAGAUGUGAAAUCCCCGGGCUCAACCUGGGAAUGGCAGUGGAUACUGGCAAGCUAGAGUGCGGUAGAGGGUAGUGGAAUUCCCGGUGUAGCAGUGAAAUGCGUAGAGAUCGGGAGGAACACCAGUGGCGAAGGCGGCUACCUGGACCAGCACUGACACUGAAGCACGAAAGCGUGGGGAGCAAACAGG
rnacentral:rRNA from 1 species